rnacentral:rRNA from 1 species
GUCCAUGCCGUAAACGUUGGGCACUAGGUGUGGGCGACAUUCCACGUUGUCCGUGCCGCAGCUAACGCAUUAAGUGCCCCGCCUGGGGAGUACGGCCGCAAGGCUAAAACUCAAAGGAAUUGACGGGGGCCCGCACAAGCGGCGGAGCAUGUGGCUUAAUUCGACGCAACGCGAAGAACCUUACCAAGGCUUGACAUACACCGGAUCGCCGCAGAGAUGUGGUUUCCCUUGUGGUCGGUGUACAGGUGGUGCAUGGCUGUCGU